rnacentral:rRNA from 1 species
CCCCCCUGAAUUUAAGCAUAUUAAUGAGGGGUGGAAAAGAAACUAACAAGGAUUUUCUUAGUAGCGGCGAGCGAAAAGAAAUCAGUUCAGCACUAAGUCACUUUGUCUUUAUGGCAAAUGUGAGAUGCAGUGUAUGGAAUGUUCAAUUUCUAGUAUGAGAAAUUAACGAUUUAAGUCCUUCUUAAAUGAGGCCAUUUACCCAUAGAGGGUGCCAGGCCCGUAUAACGUUAAUGAUUACUAGAGAACAUUUCCAAAGAGUCGUGUUGCUUGAUAGUGCAGCACUAAGUGGGUGGUAAACUCCAUCUAAAACUAAAUAUAACCAUGAGACCGAUAGUAAACAAGUACCGUGAGGGAAAGUUGAAAAGAACUCUGAAUAGAGAGUUAAAUAGUACGUGAAACUGCUUAGAGGUUAAGCCCGAUGAACCUGAAUAUCCAUUAUGGAAAAUUCAUCGUUACGAUUGUGAUAAUAAUAUUAUUAUAAGAAUAGCGUGCAUUUUUUCCAUAUAAGGACAUUGUAAUCUAUUAACAGUUUAUUCAAAUUAUUUUGCUUGUCUUUUUAACAUAGAAUAAAUGCUGUUGAUUUGAUAAAGUGUUGAUAGAUUUAUUUGUAUAUAGUGCUUGAAUAUUUAUAUUCUAUAAUGGCAUAUUAAUCAUUGAUUUUUGUGUUUAUUAUAUGCGCUUAUAUGAUUAACAAUGCGAAAGAUUCAGGAUACCUUCGGGACCCGUCUUGAAACACGGACCAAGGAGUCUAACAUAUUUGCAAGUUAUUGGGAAUUAAAAAACCUAAUAGCGAAAUUAACAUAACUUUAAUGGGAUUAGUUUUUAGUACUAUUUAGUCUAUUAAUUCAAUCCCGGGGCGUUCAUCAGUUAUACAUAAUAAUAUUUAUAUUAUUUAUGCCUCUAACUAGAGCGUACCUUGAGCAUAUAUGCUGUGACCCGAAAGAUGGUGAACUAUACUUGAUCAGGUUGAAGUCAGGGGAAACCCUGAUGGAAGACCGAAACAGUUCUGACGUGCAAAUCGAUUGUCAGAAUUGAGUAUAGGGGCGAAAGACCAAUCGAACCAUCUAGUAGCUGGUUCCCUCCGAAGUUUCCCUCAGGAUAGCUGGUGCAUUUAAAAUUAUGUAAAAUAAUCUUAUCUGGUAAAGCGAAUGAUUAGAGGCCUUAGGGUCGAAACGACCUUAACCUAUUCUCAAACUUUAAAUGGGUAAGAACCUCACCUUUCUUGGUAUGAAGGUAGUGGUUGUGAUAUAAUGUGCCCAGUGGGCCACUUUUGGUAAGCAGAACUGGCGCUGUGGGAUGAACCAAACGUAAUGUUACGGUGCCCAAAUUAACAACUCAUGCAGAAACCAUGAAAGGCGUUGGUUGCUUAAAACAGCAGGACGGUGGACAUGGAAGUCGUAAUCCGCUAAGGAGUGUGUAACAACUCACCUGCCGAAGCAACUAGCCCUUAAAAUGGAUGGCGCUUAAGUUGUAUACCUAUACAUUACCGCUAAAGUAGAUGGCCUAUGUUCAAUCUCGGUUGGAUUAUAGACUUUGAAACUUUAGUGAGUAGGAGGGUACAAUUGUGGCUUGGAAGUGUUUGGCGUAAGCCUGCAUGGAGCCGCAAUUGGUACAGAUCUUGGUGGUAGUAGCAAAUAAUCGAAUGAGACCUUGGAGGACUGAAGUGGAGAAGGGUUUCGUGUGAACAGUGGUUGAUCACGAGUUAGUCGGUCCUAAGUUCAAGGCUAACGCCGAAAAUUUUCAAGUUAUAAUAACCGAUAAUUAAACACUUGAUAAUUUCGAACGAAAGGGAAUACGGUUCCAAUUCCGUAACCUGUUGAGUAUCCGUUUGUUAUUAAAUAUGGGCCUUGUGCUCAUCCUGGCAACAGGAACGACCAUAAAGAAGCCGUCGAGAGAUAUCGGAAGAGUUUUCUUUUCUGUUUUAUAGUCGUACUACCAUGGAAGUCUUUCGAAGAGAGAUAUGGUGGAUGGACUAGAAGAGCAUGACAUUUACUGUUGUGUCGAUAUUUUCUCCUCGGACCUUGAAAAUUUAUGGUGGGGUCACGCAAACUUCUCAACAGGCCGUACCAAUAUCCGCAGCUGGUCUCCAAGGUGAAGAGUCUCUAGUCGAUAGAAUAAUGUAGGUAAGGGAAGUCGGA